rnacentral:lncRNA from 1 species
AGCAGCACUCAGCUAAAAGGAAGACUCACAGAACACAGUUGAAGAAGGAAAGUGGCGAUGGACCUCAUCCCAAAUUUGGCGGUGGAAACCUGGCUUCUCCUGGCUGUCAGCCUGGUGCUCCUCUAUCUGAUGAGAGUCCCCAAAUCAGCGAAGAGUCCACUUACUAAACAGACAUAAGGAAAUGAAGUGUCCUGGAAGAAUUCCUGCCUGAACCUCUCAGGAGCAUUUGAGGACAUUUAUCAAGUAUUCACUCCAGGAUUGGGACUAUGAAGACUUCAGCUGCUUUCAGCUAAUCAUUGAGACUUUUCAGGGGUCUCAGAAUAGUCAGGAAAGGACCUGAUGAGUGAAUGCAAUUACUGAUGUUGGAGUUGCUGUUAUUAUUUAUCGUGUACAUAUUACCUCCCUCUCUUGACCAUUCCAGUUCCUGAGUAACUCACCAGCCCUCUGAUCUAUAAAGUCACAAUCCCUGUGACCUGAUUUCUGUUUCACUUUGUAGAUAUGGGACCCGUACACAUGGACUUUUUAAGAGACUGGGAAUUCCAGGGCCCACACCUCUGCCUUUGUUGGGAAAUGUUUUGUCCUAUCGUCAGGGUCUCUGGAAAUUUGACACAGAGUGCUAUAAAAAGUAUGGAAAAAUGUGGGGUAUCUCUUCCCUGUUUGGACCACAUUACCCUUCAUCAUAUGAAGCCUUGGGUGGCUCCUGUGUGAGACUCUUGCUGUGUGUCACACCCUAAUGAACUAGAACCUAAGGUUGCUGUGUGUCGUACAACUAGGGGUAUGGAUUACAUAACAUAAUGAUCAAAGUCUGGCUUCCUGGGUGUGGCUCCAGCUGCAGAAUCGGGCUAGUGAAGUUUAAUCAGCUCCGUUGUCCCCACACAGAACGUAUGAAGGUCAACUCCCUGUGCUGGCCAUCACAGAUCCCGACGUGAUCAGAACAGUGCUAGUGAAAGAAUGUUAUUCUGUCUUCACA